rnacentral:lncRNA from 1 species
CAGGGUUUCACCACAGAGCACCCCCCACAUCCACUGCUCUGGAGAUGGAAGCUGCCUGGAGAGGUGUUCCCCCCAACUGGCUCCCCACUCUAGAGUGAGUUAGGCAGGUCAAGCACUGCUCCCUGAUGCGAAGUGGCUUUGGGCGUACAAGUCUUGGGGCCGAGGACACCUGCAGGGGCCUGCACGGUGGGAGGCCAUGUCCUGCUAGAACUGGAGCCCCUUGGCCUCUCCCAGCCUCCUACCCCCGGCUGGUGAGGAGAGCCCUGCCACAGCCUGGCAAUUUCCUGGAAAGUGUGUCAGGUCUUGCUUUCACAUGGGCUGGGGGUUAGCAGCAGGGGAAGUCAGGGUGAGCUGGGGUGGCCAAGCCUUCCUACUACACUUGCAGGUUCCACAUGCUCAGAUUUAGCUGCCAGGCACCACCCUGCUCCUGGGGGCCACUUCAGGGCAUCUCAGGGUGAGGCCAUACCACAGACCCCUCCCUGAUCUCAGCCCUCGCUUGGCUUUACCGGGGGACAGGGACAUCCAGUGGGAGGUGUGCUUACCGGGCCAGGCGGUGAGGUUGUAACUGAAGAAGUAGCUGCAUUACCAUUUCUCCCAUGUCUGGCCUGCGGCUGGGGGCAGGUCCCAUCUUCCCCUGAUGGGAAGGUAACAUAUUUGUCACCAGGCUUUCCCAGCUCACUGUCACCUGGGCUGGGUCAAGUGCUUGGAGUGGCUGUCCUUCCGAGCUGGUAGCCAGGCCCCUUGUCCUCUGUUGACACUGCUGAUUGCUCCACAAACUCCCCCGCCCCCCACCCCAGCCCAGCGCUGGUCCUGCUGCACCCUGUCAAGCUGUCCGUGCAGUGGCCCAGGGACAGGCAGAGGCUUGAGAGGUGGGCAGCCCCGCACCUGGCCAUGGACAACGUAGGCAGCGGUAGGAGGGGAUGGGACUGGCGUCCUCUGCCAAGAUGACCCUUGGGGUGGGGACCUGAGAGCCUGCUGGGGAGCCCUCGAUGUGGGGAGACCCCGGUUUACUGGGGGAGCAUCUGUCCCUCAGCCUCAGGGUGCCUGCAUCCUAGUCGUGGGUUCCCUGGGCCCGGGUGUCACCUCAAGAUGCCACAGGCCAGGCCCUGGCGUGAUGACCGGGGGUCCGGGACCCUGGCCCGCCCUCCUUGGCCCAGGCUUUGUGAGAGGAAGGUGGGUGGGGAGCGCUGGAAACAUGGGUCUGGGGCCGAGCGGCAGGGACCGUGCCGUGGGCUCGGGGACCUGCCUCCCACCAUUUCCUCUCGGUUUCGGUUGUUGAUGAGCGGAAAUAACAGUUACUGGAAGUGAGAGGCUGGGGGAGAAGCCAGGGCUUCGAGUGUCUGUGUUGUUCCCCAAGGGCUUUUCGAGCUUACUGGAUCCGAGGCCAGCCGCCUGCCUGUUGGAGUCCCCGUCUACACCCUGGCCAGAGAGAAGGGCCCUGCUGAGUGCCGUGGGGCCAUUGCUGAAGCCACCACUGUGCUCCACGGAGGAGGCAGCCAGAGUCGGCCAGUCCAUCAUGCUGGUUUCCUGGGAGCAGGCGGAAGAAUGCAUCCCAAGGCUGCCUCUCCCUUUGUGUGCCCAGCGGCCGGUGGCUCUGUUUCAGGGAUGGGCGGGGAUGUCCUGACAUCCACCAGCGCCAGCAGCUGGGCAGGAUGAAAUAUAGGCACUGAGCAACAGGGUGGCACCCAGUGACCCUGCUGCUGGACAGAAGGGUCCAGAGAGCCAGGGCCCGAGGGGUGCUCUUCGGCAGUGGUGGAGGCUGUGUCUCUAGGCCUCCCUCAGACACCCCUCCGCCCCUCACCCCGGGUUUUAUUUCUGCUGUGCUCCUCAUGUAAGGCUGCAUUGUCUGCCCAGCCUGCCGGUUGAGGAGAU